rnacentral:misc_RNA from 1 species
GGGUCCACGAAUGUCAUUUAUGUCCACUCGGUUAGCAGUAGGUCUUAUUGAAACAGUAUGCAAAAUACCACGAAGAACUGAUGUGCUAAGAGCACGGACAUGUGCACUUGGAUGUGAAAGGCAUCGGAUGGUAGCUGGUAGUCGACACUUCAAUAGAUUUGAAAGGCCGUCUGCAAUUGCAAAUCCAGAUUCUCCCCAUUCCAGCACAGGCUGAACUGCUCUAGCUGUUGCUUCCAGUAACUCCAGCUGUGGUAAAGUGCAAGCUUCUCCAUCCACAAGCAUUCCAUCUGUGGCCCGUAGAAGUAGGUCCGACGCACUUGCCAAAAUUACCAAUGCUUCUGGUGUAUCAUGAUUUCUCAUUAGUUCUACCAUCAAUCUGACUAUUCUCUGGUUGAUUCUCCACAUUUUCUGACCCUGAUCAUCAUCUUUGGCAAUCCAAGGUUGCAAUUCCCUCUCCGCCUGAAGAACAACUGCUGUAGCUGCUUUUGUAGGUGAUGCUGAUACAACAUUGCAUAGUGCGUCCACAACCUGUCUCCAUCCUUGUUGCGCAGAAGUGCUUUCUGCACUAGGUUGAGUUUCAGGUGUUGCAAUCAGUUUGUGCCAUAGAAGUGAGACGACAGAGAAACAUAACUCUUGUUUCUCCACAAGCACGGUUCUUAAAAGAACUUGUGCACUGUAGUUGAAUCCAAUGUGCCUGUCCAUUGUUAAGAAAUUGGCCAAAUCUGAAGCAUCUAAUGGGAAACCUGCAAUACCCUUACCCAAGGUACUUCCUGAACCUCCUUCCGAGUGUGAUGAUCUCUCAGUCAUGAUUUUAGUAUCUGAAAGAGCAGAUUCUUCACAUUGUGAAGCAGAUGGCUCACCUGAAUCAAA